GAUGAACGCUGGCGGCGUGCUUAACACAUGCAAGUCGAACGGAAAGGCUCCUGCUUGCAGGGGUACUCGAGUGGCGAACGGGUGAGUACACGGGGGGGAUCUGGCCUGCACUUCCGGGUAAGGCUGGGGAAAUGGGUUUAAUACCGGGUUGGAACGCCAUUUGGAUGGGUUGGUUGGAAGGUUUUUCGGUGUGGGAUGAGCUCGCGGCCUAUCAGCUUGUUGGUGGGGUAAUGGCCUACCAAGGCGUCGACGGGUAGCCGGCCUGAGAGGGUGUACGGCCACAUUGGGACUGAGAUACGGCCCAGACUCCUACGGGAGGCAGCAGUGGGGAAUAUUGCACAAUGGGCGCAAGCCUGAUGCAGCGACGCCGCGUGGGGGAUGACGGCCUUCGGGUUGUAAACUCCUUUCGCUAGGGACGAAGAGUAAUUGACGGUACCUGGAGAAGAAGCACCGGCUAACUACGUG
rnacentral:rRNA from 1 species